CUGGAGACGGUAGUACGCAUGCGCCACAACAGAGACAGCAGUACGCAUGCGCGAGCUUCGUGACGGUAUUACGCAUGCGUGACAUUAUGGACGGCAGUACGCAUGCGCGAGCCGGGAUACGGCAGUACACAUGUGCGACAUUAUGGAAGGCACUACGCAUGCGCGGGACGCGAGCCGGUUGUACGCAUGCGCGAGCUUCGAGACGGCAAUACGCACGCGCGACAUGAUAGACAACAAUGGCACCAGAGACCGCCGCAACCUUUCCGACGCAGUUUUCCUGUUUGGACAUUAGGUGGCAGCAGAUACCGUGGAAACAACUCCUCCGCCGCCUUUUAGCGGACUGCCUGGGACCGUGGGCGCGCGCAUCCCCUUCUCUCUUUCUUUUCUUGGCAGAGGAUGGUGGGGGGAAGAAGGGGAGACGACAAAGAAAAGCAAGGAAAACUUCGACAAACCCCCCAACCCCGUGCUAAAUGCUUUGGUAUACCUGUAAAUAAAUGAAUACAUAACCAGCAA
ensembl:lncRNA